rnacentral:rRNA from 1 species
GCGUGGAGGACGAAGGCCUUUUGGUUGUAAACUCCUGUCACGUGUUUUGAAUGUGCGGCGGCAAACAGUCGUCGCAUUGACGUAUGCGCGAAAGGAAGCACCGGCUAACUCUGUGCCAGCAGCCGCGGUAAUACAGAGGGUGCGAACGUUGUUCGGAAUUACUGGGCUUGAAGCGCGCGUAGGCGGCCCCGCAAGUGCGGUGUGAAAUCCCACGGCUUACCCGUGGAACCGCGCCGUGAACUACGGGGCUGGAGGAUGGUAGAGGAGGGCGGAACUCUUGGUGGAGCGGUGAAAUGCGUAGAGAUCAAGAGGAACACCGGUGGCGAAGGCGGCCCUCUGGUCCAUUACUGACGCUGAGGCGCGAAAGCUAGGGGAGCAAACGGGAUUAGAUACCCCGGUAGUCCUAGCUGUAAACGAUGGGCACUGACUAGAGGCUCUUCCUGUGGAGUCUCUGGUGGAACGAAAGCGAUAAGUGCCCCGCCUGGGGAGUAUAGUCGCAAGGCUG